CGCGUAGGUGGUAGUGCAAGUCUGGGGUGGAAUCCCAGGGCUUAACCCUGGAACUGCCUUGGAAACUGUAUUACUUGAGUCAGUGAGGGGAGGGUAGAAUUCCCGGUGUAGCGGUGAAAUGCGUAGAUAUCAGGAGGAAGGCCUGUGGCGAAGGCGGCCCUCUGGCGCUGAACUGACACUGAGGCGCGAAAGCGUGGGUAGCAAACAGGAUUAGAUACCCUGGUAGUCCACGCCCUAAACGGUGGGUACUAGGUGUGGGGCUCGUAAGGGUUCCGUGCCGAAGCGAAAGCAUUAAGUACCCCGCCUGGGGAGUACGGCCGCAAGGUUGAA
rnacentral:rRNA from 1 species